rnacentral:rRNA from 1 species
UACGUAGGGUGCGAGCGUUGUCCGGAAUUACUGGGCGUAAAGAGCGCGCAGGCGGUCGUUCAAGUCGCGUGUGAAAGCCCCCGGCUCAACUGGGGAGGGUCACGCGAUACUGAUCGACUCGAAGGCAGGAGAGGGUAGUGGAAUUCCCGGUGUAGUGGUGAAAUGCGUAGAUAAUCGGGAGGAACACCAAUUGCGAAGGCAGCUUACUAUGGGUUUGAUUGACACUGAGGCACGAAAGCGUGGGGAUCAAACAGG